CGAGAGACCGAUAGCGAACCAGUACCGUGAGGGAAAGGUGAAAAGGACCCCGGAAGGGGAGUGAAAGAGACCCUGAAACCAUGCGCCUACAAGCGGUCGGAGCCGCGUAAUGCGGUGACGGCGUGCCUUUUGCAUAAUGAGCCUGCGAGUUGUGGUCAUUGGCGAGGCUAAGAGCCGAAGGUUCGGAGCCGGAGCGAAAGCGAGUCCGAAGAGGGCGUAUAGUCGAUGGCUGCAGACGCGAAACCGGGUGAUCUACGCAUGGGCAGGCUGAAGGCUGGGUAACACCAGCUGGAGGGCCGAACCGGUAAGCGUUGAAAAGCUUUCGGAUGACCUGUGCGUAGGAGUGAAAGGCCAAUCAAACCCGGAGAUAGCUCGUACUCCCCGAAAUGCAUUUAGGUGCAGCCUCGGUAAAGACCGACGGAGGUAGAGCGACCGAUAGGGUGCGAGGGCUUCGCCGCCUAUCAAGCCCUGACGAACUCCGAAUGCCGUCGGUUGCUUACCGGGAGUGAGGGCGCGGGUGCUAAGGUCCGCGUCCGAAAGAGGAACAACUCAGACCACCGUCUAAGGCCCCGAAAUCCGGGCCGAGUUGAAGCCAAUAACGAGGUGGGACCGCAUAGACAGUUAGGAUGUUGGCUUGGAAGCAGCCAUUCAUUCAAAGAGUGCGUAACAGCUCACUAAUCGAGCGGUCCCGCGUGGAUAAUAAUCGGGCAUAAGUCCGGUGCCGAAGACGUGGAAUCAACCUUGAAGGUUGAUUGGUAGGGGAGCAUUCUGCCGCCGGUGAAGGAGGGCCGCGAGACCCUCUGGAGGUUGCAGAAAAGCAAAUGCAGGCAUAAGUAACGACAAAGGGGGCGGGAAACCCCCUCGCCGGAAGGCCAAGGGUUCCUGAUCAACGCUAAUCGGAUCAGGGUAAGCCGGGACCUAAGCAAAAGCCGCGAGGCGUAUGCGAUGGACAAACGGUAAAAAUUCCGUUGCCUCCGGUUUGAGAGCCCCGUUGAUGACGGAGGAGCGAAAGACGCGCGUGCUGACGGAACAGCACGUUAAAGGGAAGUAGCCUUAUGGUGAAGCCCGACAGUACACAGAGGCUUCGGCCGAAGUGAUAGCCGUACCGUAGCAGACUCCCGAGAAAAGUCAACGAGAGGCGCUUGAUCAAACCGGGGCCCGUACCGAAAACCGACACAGGUGGCCGGGUAGAAAAUACUGAGGCGCUCGAGAGAUUCACGGUCAAGGAACUAGGCAAAUUGGCCCCGUAACUUCGGGAGAAGGGGCCCUCGUUUAAAAAGCGAGGCGCAGAGAAUAAGUCCAGGCAACUGUUUAGCAAAAACACAGGGCUGUGCCAAGCCGCAAGGCGCUGCAUACAGCCUGACACCUGCCCGGUGCCGGAAGGUUAAGCGGAGCUGUCAUCGCAAGAGAAGCAGUGAAGUGAAGCCCCGGUAAACGGCGGCCGUAACUAUAACGGUCCUAAGGUAGCGAAAUUCCUUGUCGGGUAAGUUCCGACCUGCACGAAUGGUGUAAUGAUCCGGACACUGUCUCGACCGUGAGCUCGGUGAAAUUGUAGUAUCGGUGAAGAUGCCGAUUACCCGCAACGGGACGAAAAGACCCCGUGAACCUUUACUGCAGCUUAGCAUUGGGGCCGGGUGUGCGAUGUGUAGGAUAGUCCGGAGACAGCGAAGCCGGGACGCCAGUCUCGGUGGAGUCGACGUUGAAAUACGGGCCUUCGCACAUUUGGCUUCUAACUUGCGAUGCAAGGACAUUGCUUGGCGGGUAGUUUGACUGGGGUGGUCGCCUCCAAAAGCGUAACGGAGGCUCCUAAAGGUUCCCUCAGGCCGAUUGGCAACCGGCCGCAGAGCGCAAUGGCAUAAGGGAGCUUGACUGUGAGACCAACAAGUCGGACAGGAAGGAAACUUGAGCAUAGUGAUCCGGCGGUUCCGUAUGGAAGGGCCGUCGCUCAAAGGAUAAAAGGUACUCCGGGGAUAACAGGCUGAU
rnacentral:rRNA from 1 species